CGCGAGUGUGUGCGAGGUUUACAACUCGGUGAAUAACUCGAAAAAAUGUCAUUUUAUUUCAGCGAAAGAUUCGCAGGCCAGAAUACAACGUUUUUUAAUCUCUAUGCUUUUCAGCAGCAGAGCUCGGUGCAUUGGUUUCGCUAUUGUGCCCACUGCGAGUGUAAAUAUCCACGCUAAUCGGGCCAUGGGAAUGGUGCUCGUGUUCGUGUCCAAAGUGGUGAUGAUGACUGUGCUGUUGUCCGCCGACAAUCAUCAUAUUUAUACCAUUCCAUAUUAGACGCAUUCCUCCGUCAACAAGAUGUACUCCGCCGCUUGAACCACCAGUCAAUCGGGCGAUCAUGUCUGCACCCAAAGAAUACAAAAGUCGUGCAUUUACUCGUUGGAAUAUCGUGAGCGGGAUUACUUGACAAUUUGAGUUUUCUGACAACGCGUACGUACCUUGGCAUCCAGGAAUGAGGUGCAGGAAACCACACGCGUUUAUUCUCGAAUCCCAACCGGUUCCAGGACCACAGUCUCUUACCCAUAAGCGUCCAUGGUCACAUUGGACGUACUUUCUGCAAUCCAAAUAAUACGGCCCCAAUCCGGUAUGACCAGCAGGACAUCGGGGCAUGUAUUAGUCGCUGCUCGAUGCUUACUCCUUCGCAUUUCGUUGUGACUAAAAUCUAAGAGAAUCGUCACACAUCGAAAUACAUUGUGGAGUACAUGAACAUUCAUUCGUUCUAUUCCAUUUGAUAAAGAGACACAAAAAGAGUUUAUUGCAAACGGGAAUUUUUCAGUACCCGAGGCUUCUUGACAUUAAAAAAUUGAGUAACCCCACCCCUAUUUGGAGCAUUAAGUGUCAGUAUGACUCUCAACGUUUAUAAGUUCUUAACAAAACCGUCAAAGAAUAAAUUAAGUAUGAAAAAAAAAUUUUUUUCUCAAGUUUCGUUUCAAUGUAUAAAAAGAAAGAAAAUAAAAUAGAAAAUCGAGGCAACUUACCGCGUCAGUAACCGCGACGAAUAAGAGGCAUGCGAAGAUGCAUAGUGGAAGUCUGCUUCCGUCGGAAAUUUUCAUUUUUAAUGCUCGGUGUACGAGGGAACAGGAAAAACGAAAGCAAAUUGAAGCUUUGAAAAAUUGUACUCGUCGAUCAACUUCAGUAGCUUUCGGACAAUCUCUUUACAGCUCGAUGCUGGAUGUACUGCAGAUCCGACAUUGAGCUCGCGUAUUUAUAGUCCGGAGGAGCGUUGUUUUCGAUCGUAGGCAAAUUUUAUCAGCAUUUUAUCUCCAAUUCGAUUCCGUCUCCGUGUACCAAAGAUGGAUUUAAGAAUGAAAAGAGGGGGGACCGGAGCAAAACGGAAUAUCUGAAAAAUUCGUGAUAUUUUUUUCAACCUGUAUAUUCAUCCGAAAAUGAACGGAAAAACAUAUUUUUUCCAAACCUCGUGUUUUCUUUUUAAUUUUGGAUAAAAAAUAAAUAUAUUCGUUUUUUCAAUAUUUUUUUUUUUCAAAAAUUCUCUUUUUUAUGUCAUUUUCAAAGUGAAAAAUUAUUUGUACCGAAAUUUAUGUAUUUUCAUUACUGUCACUGAAAGUUAAAUAUUUGCUUCCGUUUUGCCCCGGCCUCCCCUAAUUUAGUCAAUAUAUGAAACAAUCAUUUUUUCCCGUAUUUCUAACUAUUCUUCGGUUUUUAUUAACAAUAGACUAAUACUUUUGCCGGAGCUGGAAUUUUUCUGAUUUUUUGAAUAAAAGCAUUGAAAAAAUCUGAAAACUGGACUGGUCUCCAAAAGGACGAGAGUUCACAGUCUGUGUAAUUCGGUAAACUCAUUUCCCCACAAUACAUCGAUGUAAAUUUGAGCAUUUUUUAUUCCUUCAAAAUUUCUUGAGAUAUUGUUGACGUGAUUUUAGUUUUUUUGUCAUCCAUUAUACAUCACAAAGAAAUUCGUCAUCUUGUCAACUCUGUCGUCCAUGAUUUCACGUAAAAAUUGCGAUGAAAUUUCAAGAAAUGGGCUAAACGGAGCUUCAGCAAAGAAUAUUUUAUGAGAAAAUAAAAAAUCACGGAACUCUUUGCUCGCACGUAAUUUCGAAGUUGCGUAAUCAUGGUAUUCUCGAAUUCCGCAUAAUUCAUGUGUUGAUAAUUCAAUUCGUAAUCAUUUUUGUGCCAUAAUUUGAGAGAUAGCGAAAAAGAAGAACGUUCCGCCAACUGGGGUGAAACAAUGUUCACAAGUAAGGUUAUCGCCUAAUAAUAUCGGGGAUAAUGAAGGGUUUUUUGUCUAUGUUGACUUCGCCAUUUCGAAGCGUUUUCAAAUAUUUGGGGUCAAGAAACUGCUAGGUCUCUAGAUAUUCGGUUUGUAGCUGAGCGCAAUUUUUAAUCGUCAUCAGCGUUAUCAAAACUUGUAUAAUAGCGCCAGAUAAAACGGAUUUUUAAUGUGCUUUUAUUUCAAGUUUUCGUCACAAUCCACGGUAUGGGUGAAGUGCCUCUUCCGGGAGAUUAAAUUUUAGUACCCUCGCUUGAGCCAGUGUUGCCAAAAAAUGUUUAACACUAGAAAAAAAAUUGCGCUGAUGAGCGCUGUUUCCGCGCUAGCGAUUCUUUUCAUUCGUUCGUCAGAGUUCUGCCGUUACUUACGUUACAGCAUUUGAGAUGCGGAGGAACUAUUCUCAGGUUGUAUUUUGCACCCCUUUUUCGCCAUCAAAUUGUAACUAUUCGAGGUUAGAAGAAUGUGAGGUGUGUGCGGCACAAAAAGCCAAAUAUGCUUGUCCAAAAUGUGAGGUUAGAACGUGCAUAGUCUCACGUGUGUAAACAUAGAUGAAAAAGAACUUGAGUGCGAUGGGAUUAGUGACAAGGCAAGACGAAAUUUACGUAGCAUUUUUUUACCAAAAGUAGCAAAAUCAAUGACUCAAAUACAGCCAACUAUAUCUUCACUAUAUUCCAAGAAUAACGAAUGAUUGUAAACUACUGUAGAAAUAAUGAACUUGAGAACAGAUAAUAUUAAUGGAAAAUUGGAUGAAUAUUCAAUUUAAUAUGAACUGAGGAUUGUAAUUCGGAAAUUAUUGUUUCUCUCAGAUUACAUUGUUGAAAGAUUGUUGAAAGAAGUUGGUCGAUUCGUUGACUGAUUUCAAAGGGAUCUUUCCAAAAAAUGCACUAGAAUGAACAAUCUCUCAGUGGUAUGAAUAAAACAAAUUGAAUAUGAACAUAUUUGUCACAGUACUGUUAAUAUUUCAAUGAGUCUAUGCGACUUUGGUUUACGAGUGUUUCCUCCUGAAAACAUUAACAAUUGUUUUUCGAGGCAUACAAAAACUUUUAUUUCCUUCGAGCCCUACAAAAGUUAAGAGGAGCUGCACAUCGAAGUGGAGUCAGAUUAGAGUUUAUGCCACAAAACUUCAGCAGACACAAAGACAACACAACGUUUUUCAACUGGAAGACAAAUGAAUUAUUUUGGAAAAUAGAAUGGAUAUUUCCACAAGCAGAAAAUGCAAAAUGGAUCACAAAAAGAGUUCACGAAUCAACCAGACUCUUCGACGUCAUUCAGACUAUCUUAGAUCCUGUUAAUUCAGACCAUGAGAGUUUUAAAGACGAAGAUCUAAACACUCGAGAAAUCCUCCAAGACCGACUGCAAUUUUAUCAUACCGCCGAAUUAACGGGUAUAAAAGUUAAUGAUGAAAUCUGGAAAAGUUAAAUAAUCCAGUUUGAGAUUUUGUGCUUGGUGUAGGAUAUACUAAACCUUAAUUGAUUUUUCACGAUCUUUGAAGAUUCAUAGCGACAUUGUAGUAUUGAAACUCGGGC